UACGAAGGGGGCUAGCGUUGUUCGGAAUCACUGGGCGUAAAGGGCGCGUAGGCGGCUUUAUAAGUCGGGGGUGAAAGCCUGUGGCUCAACCACAGAAUUGCCUUCGAUACUGUAGAGCUUGAGACCGGAAGAGGUAAGUGGAACUGCGAGUGUAGAGGUGAAAUUCGUAGAUAUUCGCAAGAACACCAGUGGCGAAGGCGGCGACCUGGGUGGAUAUUGACGCUGAGGCGCGAAAGCGUGGGGAGCGAACAGG
rnacentral:rRNA from 1 species